rnacentral:rRNA from 1 species
GAUGAACGCUGGCGGCGUGCCUAAUACAUGCAAGUCGAGCGAACAGACGAGGAGCUUGCUCCUCUGACGUUAGCGGCGGACGGGUGAGUAACACGUGGAUAACCUACCUAUAAGACUGGGAUAACUUCGGGAAACCGGAGCUAAUACCGGAUAAUAUAUUGAACCGCAUGGUUCAAUAGUGAAAGACGGUUUUGCUGUCACUUAUAGAUGGAUCCGCGCCGCAUUAGCUAGUUGGUAAGGUAACGGCUUACCAAGGCGACGAUGCGUAGCCGACCUGAGAGGGUGAUCGGCCACACUGGAACUGAGACACGGUCCAGACUCCUACGGGAGGCAGCAGUAGGGAAUCUUCCGCAACGGGCGAAAGCCUGACGGAGCAACGCCGCGUGAGUGAUGAAGGUCUUCGGAUCGUAAUACUCUGUUAUUAGGGAAGAACAAAUGUGUAAGUAACUAUGCACGUCUUGACGGUACCUAAUCAGAAAGCCACGGCUAACUACGUG